CUCCCCGGUAAUGGGCAAAGAGACACCUUGCUGGUGGUGGUGUUCUUAAAUAAGUCAGGCACAGAGCACAUAGUAGUCUUCUGUUCAUCCUAGCUGGAUGCCUGGCUUGGUGGCCAAAGCUGUUUAUACCUAGGACUCACAA